UAUGUGAUCGUCUCUCGCAUAUCAAUAAGCGGAGGAAAAGAAACUAACAAGGAUUCCCCUAGUAACGGCGAGUGAAGCGGGAAGAGCUCAAAUUUGAAAUCUUAAAGGGUUUCCCUUUACGAAUUGUAGUUUAAAGAAGUGUUUUCUGUUGAGGUUUUGGUAAAAGUUCUUUGGAAUAGGACAUCAUAGAGGGUGAGAAUCCCGUAUUUGACCUUUACUUUCAACUUUGUGAUACACUUUCAAAGAGUCGGAUUGUUUGGGAAUGCAGUCCAAAAUGGGUGGUAAAUUUCAUCUAAAGCUAAAUAUUGGCGGGAGACCGAUAGCGAACAAGUACCGUGAGGGAAAGAUGAAAAGAACUUUGAAAAGAGAGUUAAACAGUACGUGAAAUUGUCAAAAGGGAAGCGUUUGACACCAGUGUUGUUUUUCUGAAAAUCAAUUAAAGAACUGUUUAUGCUAAGCUGUUUAGACUUUAUCAGCUAAUCUGUUUAGUUUUGAGCUUUUCUUUAAUGCACUUUUCAGUUAACAAGUCAACAUCAAUUUCUUUUGCUGUAAAAAAGCUUGAGGAAGGUGGCUUGAGAUUCGUCUUAAGUGUUUAUAGCCUCUUGCCUAUGCAGUCGGAGAGAUUGAGGUCUGCAGCGUAGAUCCUUCGGGGCUAAAUGCAUUUGUGCUAAGUUAUAGCAUUUUAUAGACAACUUGUUGACUAUGAUUUGUCUUGUAGCUUACUCGCUUAUGUUAUUUUACCUACGCUUAGGAUGUUGACGCGCGUGUGUGCGUG
rnacentral:rRNA from 1 species